GACGAACGCUGGCGGCGUGCUUAACACAUGCAAGUCGAACGGGCCUUGUCCCCUUUUUUUUGGGGGUGGGGUUAGUGGCGAACGGGUGAGUAACACGUGAGUAACCUGCCCCUCACUUCUGGAUAACCGCUUGAAAGGGUGGCUAAUACGGGGUGUUCUGGCCUGCUCGCAUGGGUGGGUUUGGAAAGAUUCGACCGGGUUUUGUUGUUUUGGUGGGGGAUGGGCUCGCGGCCUAUCAGCUUGUUGGUGGUGGGAUGGCCUGCCAAGGCUUUGACGGGUAGCAGGCCUGAGAGGGUGGGCGGUCACACUGGGACUGAGACACGGCGCAGACUCCUACGGGAGCCAGCAGUGGGGACUACUGCACAAUGGGCGUAAGCCUGAUGCAGCGACGCCGCGUGAGAGAUGGAGGCCUUCGGGUUGUGAACCUCUUUCGCCAGUGAAGAAGGUCCUGCUCUUUGUGGUGGGGUUGACGGUAGCUGGGUUAAUGAAGCGCCGGCUAACUACGUG
rnacentral:rRNA from 1 species